AACAGCCCAGAUCGACAGCUAAGGUCUCCAAAUCCAUACUAAGUGGGAAAGGUGGUGGAGUUGCUGAUACAUCCAGGAGGUUGGCUUAGAAGCAGCCAUCCUUUAAAGAAAGCGUAAUAGCUCACUGGCCUAGCGAUUCUGCGCCGAAAAUGUAACGGGGCUAAGUAUGGUACCGAAGCUUCGGGUUCGUCUUUUAGACGAGCGGUAGGGGAGCGUUCUCAGAUGGGAUGAAGGCAAAUCGUGAGGUUUGCUGGACUAAUGAGAAGUGAUUAUGCUGGCAUGAGUAACGAUAAAACGGGUGAGAAACCCGUUCGCCGUAAGCCUAAGGUUUCCUGGGUAAAGCUAAUCUGCCCAGGGUAAGUCGGCCCCUAAGGUGAGGCUGAAAAGCGUAACCGAUGGGAAACAGGUUAAUAUUCCUGUACCUGUACAUGUGUGCGACGGAGGGACGCAGGAGGAUAGCUGAUCCGGGUGUUGGAUAUCCCGGUGCAAGCGUGUAGGCUUGAAGGGUAGGCAAAUCCGCUCUUCUUUAAGGCCGAGACGUGAUGCCGUGUCAUUUACAGACUGAAGUCAGUGAUUCCAUGCUGCCUAGAAAAGCUUCUAAGUUUAGCAUGUGCAGACCGUACCGCAAACCAACACAGGUAGGCGGGUCGAGCAGACCAAGGCGCUUGAGAGAACUCUGGUUAAGGAACUCGGCAAAAUGAUCCCGUAAGUUCGCAAUAAGGGAUGCUCCCGCGUGUGAUAUGACUUGCUUGUUGAGCACGUGAGAGCCGCAGCGAAUCGGGGGGGGCGACUGUUUACUAAAAACAUAGGUCUCUGCGAAGUCGUAAGACGAAGUAUAGGGACUGACGCCUGCCCGGUGCCGGAAGGUUAAGAGGUGGAGUUAGCUUCGGCGAAGCUCUAAAUCGAAGCCCCGGUAAACGGCGGCCGUAACUAUAACGGUCCUAAGGUAGCGAAAUUCCUUGUCGGGUAAGUUCCGACCUGCACGAAUGGCGUAACGAUCCCCCCACUGUCUCAACCAGAGACUCAGUGAAAUUGAAUUCCGGGUGAAAAUGCCCGGUACCCGCAGAAGGACGGAAAGACCCUGUGCACCUUUACUACAGCUUGACAUUGGUAUUUGGUUUAUCAUGUGUAGGAUAGGUGGGAGACUUUGAAGCGGGCACGCCAGUGUUCGUGGAGUCACCCUUGAAAUACCACCCUUGAUAAUCUAGGUAUCUAAUCCAACGCCGUUAUCCGGCUUGGAGACAGUGUCUGGUGGGUAGUUUGACUGGGGCGGUCGCCUCCCAAAGAGUAACGGAGGCUUGCAAAGGUUCCCUCAGGCUGAUUGGAAACCAGCCGUCGAGUGCAAAGGCAUAAGGGAGCUUGACUGUGAGACAGACAUGUCGAGCAGGAACGAAAGUUGGUCUUAGUGAUCCGGUGGUUCCGCAUGGAAGGGCCAUCGCUCAUAGGAUAAAAGGUACGCCGGGGAUAACAGGCUGAUCGCGUCCAAGAGUUCACAUCGACGACGCGGUUUGGCACCUCGAUGUCGGCUCAUCACAUCCUGGGGCUGGAGCAGGUCCCAAGGGUACGGCUGUUCGCCGUUUAAAGUGGUACGCGAGCUGGGUUUAAAACGUCGUGAGACAGUUUGGUCCCUAUCCUCUGUGGGCGUAGGAGAAUUGAAGAGGGUCUGCCCCUAGUACGAGAGGACCGGGGUGGACGAACCUCUGGUGUUCCUGUUGUCACGCCAGUGGCACUGCAGGGUAGCUAUGUUCGGCACGGAUAACCGCUGAAGGCAUCUAAGCGGGAAGCCAUCCUCAAGAUUAGUUCUCCCUGGACUUCGGUCCCUGAAGAUCCCUUGU
rnacentral:rRNA from 1 species